rnacentral:rRNA from 1 species
CAGCAGCCGCGGUAAUACAGAGGAUGCAAGCAUUAUCCGGAAUGAUUGGGCGUAAAGCGUCUGUAGGUGGCUUUUCAAGUCCGCCGUCAAAUCCCAGGGCUCAACCCUGGACAGGCGGUGGAAACUACCAAGCUGGAGUACGGUAGGGGCAGAGGGAAUUUCUGGUGGAGCGGUGAAAUGCGUAGAGAUGUGGAGGAAUACCGAUGGCGAAGGCAGCCCCCUGGGCCAAUACUGACGCUCAUGCACGAAAGCGUGGGGAGCAAACAGGAUUAGAUACCCCCGUAGUCCCUGUCUCUUAUAC